rnacentral:rRNA from 1 species
UACGUAGGGGCCAAGCGUUGUCCGGAUUUAUUGGGCGUAAAGAGCUCGUAGGCGGUUUGGAUAGUCGGGUGUGAAAACUCCGAGCUUAACUCGGAGACGCCACCCGAUACUGCCAUGACUAGAGUGCGGUAGGGGAGAUUGGAAUUCCUGGUGUAGCGGUGGAAUGCGCAGAUAUCAGGAGGAACACCGAUGGCGAAGGCAGAUCUCUGGGCCGUAACUGACGCUGAGGAGCGAAAGCAUGGGGAGCGAACAGG